AACAGCUGCGUCUGUGUGAGAAAUGAGCGGAUUACCUGAGGCGUGGAGGGGUUUAGAGACAGCAUUUUGCCAGUCCACGACCCUGAAGCGGGGCAAACGUGGGAACUCCUUACUGCCAGAAAGAAAUGAGUUCUCGCUAUAUUGUGCAAGCUAGAGUGCAGUUUGCAGGCAUGAUCAUAAUGCACUACAACCUUGAACUCCUGGGCUCAAGUGAUCCUUCUGCCUUAGCCUCCUGAGUAGCUGGGACUACAGGUGUGCUCUACUAUGCCCAGCUAAAAUUGUAAAAUCAUCUUUUAUAGUAAUUAAUAUAUUAUCAUCAGAACCAUUCACUCUUCUCUUUCUCCAUUAUGACUUCUGGACUUUUGCUAGAUAUAUAACAUUGAGACAUAAUUCAUACUUUUUCUUUGAUUUUAGUGUGAAGUUAUAAUUAUUAAAAGAUAAAAAUACAAAUAAAUAUUUCUAACACUUCUAACACAUUAAUGACUUUUUCUAGUUAAAAAAUACCUGAACAAAAGUAAUUAUUAAGUACACUUAGGUCUAUUCUAUCAUAUGCUGAUUAUAACAUAAUAUGUAUUAUAAUCACAACAUAUAUAUUUUAAUCAUAACAUACAUGUUGUGACAGAUGUAGGUGACACAAAUAUGUAUUUUCCUUAGAUCCUUUUAACCUAUGAUUCUGUAUAGAUUAAAAUACAUGGCUUUCAAAAUUGAAUGAAA